AUACGGAGGAUCCGGGCGUUAUCCGGAUUUAUUGGGUUUAAAGGGUGCGCAGGCGGCCAUUUAAGUCAGCGGUUAAAUCGUGGGGCUCAACCCCAUUCUGCCGUUGAUACUGGGUGGCUUGAUUGCGGUCGAGGUUGGCGGAAUUCGUUGUGUAGCGGGGAAAUGCAUAGAUCUGACGAAGAACACCGAUUGCGUAGGCAGCUGACCAGACCGCAAAUGACGCUCAUGCACGAAAGUGCGGGGAUCGAACAGGAUUAGAUACCCUGGUAGUCCGCACAGUAAACGAUGAAUACUUGUUUUCGGCGAUAUAAUGUCGGAGGGAAAGCGAAAGCGAUAAGUAUUCCACCUGGGGAGUACGCCGGCAACGGUGAAACUCAAAGGAAUUGACGGG
rnacentral:rRNA from 1 species